rnacentral:rRNA from 1 species
AGCGAACGCUGGCGGCAGGCCUAACACAUGCAAGUCGAACGAAGUCUUCGGAUGCUGACGAGUGGCGAACGGGUGAGUAAUACAUCGGAACGUGCCCGAGAGUGGGGGAUAACGAGGCGAAAGCUUUGCUAAUACCGCAUACGAUCUCAGGAUGAAAGCAGGGGACCGCAAGGCCUUGCGCUCACGGAGCGGCCGAUGGCAGAUUAGGUAGUUGGUGGGAUAAAAGCUUACCAAGCCGACGAUCUGUAGCUGGUCUGAGAGGACGACCAGCCACACUGGGACUAAGACACGGCCCAGACGCCUACGGGAGGCAGCAGUGGGGAAUUUUGGACAAUGGGCGCAAGCCUGAUCCAGCCAUGCCGCGUGCAGGAUGAAGGCCUUCGGGUUGUAAACUGCUUUUGUACGGAACGAAAAGACUCUGGUUAAUACCUGGGGUCCAUGACGGUACCGUAAGAAUAAGCACCGGCUAACUACGUGCCAGCCGCCGCCGUAAUAC